ACUUAAAACUCAAAGGACUUGACGGUGUCCCAAAUCAACCUAGAGGAGCCUGUCCUAUAAUCGAUAAUCCACGCUACACCUCACCCCCUCUCGAAACCAGUCUGUAUACCGCCGUCUCCCAGUUCGCUUUAUGACAAACCAAUAGCGAACACAACAGCCCACCACUUAAACGUCAGGUCAAGGUGCAACUAAUGAGGGGGCAGCGAUGGGCUACAUUUUCUACAACAGAACACCACCAUCCACCAUAUGAAACAUAGGUCACAAGGCGGAUUUAGCAGUAAGCCAAACA
rnacentral:rRNA from 1 species